GCGACUAACCGCGAAAGUCUUCGGGGAGCCGUAAGUAGGCUUUGAUCCGGAGGUCUCCGAAUGGGGGAACCCAGCAUGUGCAGACAUGCUAUCCUUAAGUGAAUACAUAGCUUAAGGAGGGAACACGCAGUGAACUGAAACAUCUAAGUAGCUGCAGGAAGAGAAAGAAAUAUCGAUUUCCCAAGUAGCGGCGAGCGAACAGGAAAGAGCCCAAACCGGCAGAUUUAUCUGCCGGGGUUGUAGGACUGAGACAUGGCACUUCAGAGGAUAGCAGAAGCGUUUGGGAAAGCGCGCCAGAGAGGGUGAGAGCCCCGUAAGCGAAAUCCAAAGAAGGCCUAUCAGUAUCCUGAGUAGGGCGGGACACGUGAAAUCCCGUUUGAAUCCGCGAGGACCAUCUCGCAAGGCUAAAUACUAACCAGUGACCGAUAGUGAACCAGUACCGUGAGGGAAAGGUGAAAAGAACCCCGGGAGGGGAGUGAAAGAGAACCUGAAACCGUGUGCCUACAAGUAGUCAGAGCCCGUUAACGGGUAAUGGCGUGCCUUUUGUAGAAUGAACCGGCGAGUUGCGUUAGUCAGCAAGGUUAAGUCAGAAAAGACGGAGCCGUAGCGAAAGCGAGUCUGAAGAGGGCGAGCAGUUGGCUGACGCAGACCCGAAACCAAGUGACCUACCCAUGACCAGGUUGAAGGCGCGGUAAAACGCGCUGGAGGACCGAACCCACGUAAGUUGAAAAUUGCGGGGAUGAGUUGUGGGUAGCGGUGAAAUUCCAAACGAACUUGGAGAUAGCUGGUUCUCUCCGAAAUAGCUUUAGGGCUAGCCUCGCAAAGAGGAUGCUGGAGGUAGAGCUCUGUUUGGACUAGGGGCCCGUCAAGGGUUACUGAAUUCAGAUAAACUGCGAAUUCCAGACAUUUAUGUGCGGGAGUCAGACUGCGAGUGAUAAGAUCCGUAGUCGAAAGGGAAACAGCCCAGAUCACCAGUUAAGGUCCCAAAAUUCAUGCUAAGUGGAAAAGGAUGUGGAGUUGCGCAGACAACUAGGACGUUGGCUCAGAAGCAGCCAUCAUUCAAAGAGUGCGUAAUAGCUCACUAGUCGAGUGACGCCGCGCCGAAAAUUUACCGGGGCUAAGCAUGAUACCGAAACUGUGGAUGUGCAUUUAUGCACGUGGUAGGAGAGCGUUCUAGCGGCGGUGAAGCAUGACCGAGAGGACAUGUGGAGCUUCUAGAAGUGAGAAUGCCGGUAUGAGUAACGAAAGACAGGUGAGAAUCCUGUCCGCCGCAAGACUAAGGUUUCCUGGGGCAGGCUCGUCCGCCCAGGGUAAGUCGGGACCUAAGGCGAGGCCGAGAGGCGUAGUCGAUGGACAACAGGUUGAAAUUCCUGUACUGCACCGAAUCGUUAUGAGCGAUGGAGGGACGCAGGAGGCUAGCAGCGCGUGGUGCUGGAUACCACGUUCAAGCGUCAAGUCUGAGAGUGAGUCAAAUGCUUGCUCUCAUAAGGACAAGGCGUGAUGAGGAGCGAAAUUAAAGUAGCGAAGG
rnacentral:rRNA from 1 species